GACUUCACCUACGGGUAAACUUUGUCCGAACUCCUACGGGAGUCGGACUUCGCCCUGACUUCACUCAUGGGAGCCGAACUCCCGUAGCCCCACCAAGAGCGGAGGGAAAAAUUCAAAAAAAAAAGAAAAGAAAAGAAGAGAAGAGGAAAGAAAGGAAAAAGAAGGGUAAAGAGAAGGGAAUACAACCGCAACAAUGGUAAAGAAAGGA
rnacentral:lncRNA from 1 species